GUGGGAAUGCAAAUUGGUGUAGCCACUCUGGGAAACAAGUCCUAAAACAAUUAAAAAUAGAAAUACCAUAUCAUCCAGUAAUGCCACUACCGGGUAUUUACCCAAAGAAG